CUCCGAGCGCGUCACGGUUUUGUGACGUCACGGCCGGCGGGCUUUUCCCCCGGCGCGUCAGACUGAGGUGAAAGCCGGUUGGUCGUCGCCUCCAGCUCUUGGACACUGCCCCUUUUCUGAGCUUACCGUUACAGAUCAGAGAUUACCACCUCUCUUUCUACCUACCCAAGUUUGUGUAUUUUUUUUCCGACUUCAAGACCAAUUUUGUGAUGUUUAAAUAUUCUUGGAUGUGUAAUCUACGGUGAGUGGUCAAAUAACUUUUAUCGGGGGUACACUCUUAGAGAAACUCCCAGCAGCUAACAGUUGCUAGGAUUUGGUGUGGCUUGGGCUUGCACAGGUUUUAUGCAUGCUGUUGCAACUACUGAGAGUUUAUGUGUGCAGUUGUCCUGUUGUGUCCAAAAGAUGUUGUAGUCAUCUACUGUCUCAGUGUCUUACACUGUUUCUCCACCUCUUCUGCAAUGAUCCCUUAGCCUUGGAAGCGGAGGGUGCAUUAUACAUGCUCCCUUUAGGACUGAACAUUCUACAGUCUCUUUUCUGUACCAUAGCUAGUUGUGAGUCUCGGUAUUAAUCACUGUUGGAGUUAGAAGCUUCUCAGAUAAGGGAUGAGAGGUCAUUGAUCUGUGGAUAGAAUGCAAGUCAUUAAGAGUCAGUUUAAUAGUAUGUCCAUUUAGCAGCAUAAUAGUUACAGGUUUUUUCCAUAGCUUUUGACUUUUUAGCCAGAGGCUCUUAGCCUGAUAAUGGUGCCAGGUAUGAGUUUCAUCCCUAGAGAGGGAUUUAGAUUCAAUCAAAAAGUGGUUGGUUCUUCCUGUGAUGUUGGUGCCACUAUUAAACCAGUGAGUUUGUAUGUCUACGCCAGUCAUUUUUGUAGCUUGAAGGGUCCACAGCUGAGUAUGACUAACAACUUUCCUCUCCAGUAACUUGUGUAGCACCUCUCUGGACUAUGAAAGCUAGCUGGUCAGUAGGGAUAAAGCUUACAUGUUCAAACCAGCUUGAUUUUUGCCAUGUUACAUGACUCAGUCAUGUGCUGUCUUCAGCAAUAGGUUCUGAUUGCCUGGAGGGUAACCAAGAGCAGUGGUUAUACUCUGUAAUAUUUUGGGGUGUAUGGGAUCUCACUGGCCAACACCAAGAGGCAACUCAUACCAAGCACGGAACUUUUUGUUAGCCUCUGAUGUCUAGUAGGAACAUUGUUGCUCUGUUACAGGGUAAUUCCAUUUUAACGUGUGUGUGUGUGUGUGUGUGUGUGUGUGUGUGUGUGUGUGUGUGUGUGUGUUGGAGAUAGAUAAGAUUUAGAAAGGGCUUUCUCUAUAUGUUAUUUAUCCUUUUCUCUACUCUGUCCUCCACCUUACCCUCCACUUCCUCAUCCUAGUUUAACCCUUCCUAUUCCAUGAUUCCUUCAUACGAGUGCAGUUUAUCUCCUCUCCCUGAACAUGGCACCUUAGUAGUUUCCUGACCUUGAAGGUGGAAGCUCUGCCAUUGCUCCAACCUCCACUCCAGCCUCACUCUCACCAAUUCCAACCUGGCCCCCCUCCUCCUCUUCCAGACUCCACCCCUCAGAAAGCCUGCCAAGGGUCAGCUCCUUCCCUGGAGCUGCUCAAGACCACACAUACCCGGUCACCAGAUCUGCCAUGUGAUCUCUCUCCUGCCUUCCGGAGAGUUGCCUGGGAGUUGCAUUGUUGUGCUGUGCUCUGUUUAUAAAUCUGUUCUUAUUAA